rnacentral:rRNA from 1 species
UACGUAGGGGGCAAGCGUUGUCCGGAAUCAUUGGGCGUAAAGCGCGUGUAGGCGGCCCGAUAAGUCCGCUGUGAAAGUCCAGGGCUCAACCCUGGGAUGCCGGUGGAUACUGUCGGGCUCGAGUCCGGAAGAAGAGUGUGGAAUUCCUGGUGUAGCGGUGAAAUGCGCAGAUAUCAGGAGGAACACCAAUGGCGAAGGCAGCACUCUGGGACGUGACUGACGCUGAGACGCGAAAGCGUGGGGAGCAAACAGG